rnacentral:rRNA from 1 species
GAUCCUGGCUCAGGACGAACGCUGGCGGCGUGCCUAACACAUGCAAGUCGAACGGAACUGUUUUGAAAGAUUUCUUCGGAAUGAAUUUGAUUUAGUUUAGUGGCGGACGGGUGAGUAACGCGUGAGUAACCUGCCUUCAAGAGGGGGAGUAACAUUCUGAAAAGAAAUGCUAAUACCGCAUGACAUAUCGGAACCACAUGGUUGUGAUAUCAAAGAUUUUAUUCGCUUGAAGAUGGACUCGCGUCCGA